GCCUUCGUAGCCGAAUUGGCAUAGGCACAUGGCUAAGGACCAUGUUUUUGUGGGUUCGAGUCCCACCGAAGGUACCA
rnacentral:tRNA from 2 species